UAAUUCACAUAUUAUAUAUUAUAUGAUAGAGGUUAAUGUGUUAAUAAUCACCUAACCUACACCUUGAAUCUACACCCCCUAACCUUAUAAAUCAUCGACCCAUAACCCAUAACUCUUCUAAAUACGCAAUGUGAUUUAUUCCCAUUGUUAUCUAUGGAAAAGUGAAGUAAUUCAACCAAGCAUGGGUAAACAACGAGUGUAACUAUGAAUUUCUUAAGGUAGCCAAUUGCCUCAUCAUCCAAUUAGUGAUGCACAUGAAUGGAUCAUUAACGAUAUUCCCCACUGUCCCUAGCUACUAUAUUGUAGAGAAACCACAUCAAAGGGAAUGGGCUUGGCAGAAUUAGUGGGGAAAGAAGACCUCGUUGAGAUUGACUCUAGUCCUAAGACAUUCAU
rnacentral:ncRNA from 1 species